rnacentral:rRNA from 1 species
GACGAACGCUGGCGGCGUGCUUAACACAUGCAAGUCGAACGAAGUGGCGAACGGGUGAGUAACGCGUAAUCAACCUGCCCUUCAGAGGGGGACAACAGUUGGAAACGACUGCUAAUACCGCAUACUGAAGGAGGGGAUUGCGUCUGAUUAGCUAGUUGGAGGGGUAACGGCCCACCAAGGCGAUGAUCAGUAGCCGGUCUGAGAGGAUGAACGGCCACAUGUGGACUGAGACAAGGCCCAGACUCCUACGGGAGGCAGCAGUGGGGAAUAUUGCGCAAUGGGGUCAACCCUGACGCAGCCAUGCCGCAUGAAUUAAUAAGGCCUUCGGGUUGUAAAGUUCUUUCGUUAGCGAAGCGUUAACUACAGAAGAAGGACCAACUAAAUCCGUGCCAGCAGCCGCGGUAAUAC